GAUGAACGCUGGCGGCGUGCCUAAUACAUGCAAGUCGAGCGAACGGACGAGAAGCUUGCUUUUCUGAUGUUAGCGGCGGACGGGUGAGUAACACGUGGAUAACCUACCUAUAAGACUGGGAUAACUUCGGGAAACCGGAGCUAAUACCGGAUAAUAUUUUGAACCGCAUGGUUCAAAAGUGAAAGACGGUCUUGCUGUCACUUAUAGAUGGAUCCGCGCUGCAUUAGCUAGUUGGUAAGGUAACGGCUUACCAAGGCAACGAUGCAUAGCCGACCUGAGAGGGGGAUCGGCCACACUGGAACUGAGACACGGUCCAGACUCCUACGGGAGGCAGCAGUAGGGAAUCUUCCGCAAUGGGCGAAAGCCUGACGGAGCAACGCCGCGUGAGUGAUGAAGGUCUUCGGAUCGUAAAACUCUGUUAUUAGGGAAGAACAUAUGUGUAAGUAACUGUGAACAUCUUGACGGUACCUAAUCAGAAAGCCACGGCUAACUACGU
rnacentral:rRNA from 1 species